UGGGGAAUAUUGGACAAUGGGCGAAAGCCUGAUCCAGCCAUGCCGCGUGUGUGAAGAAGGUCUUCGGAUUGUAAAGCACUUUAAGUUGGGAGGAAGGGCAUUAACCUAAUACGUUAGUGUUUUGACGUUACCGACAGAAUAAGCACCGGCUAACUCUGUGCCAGCAGCCGCGGUAAUACAGAGGGUGCAAGCGUUAAUCGGAAUUACUGGGCGUAAAGCGCGCGUAGGUGGUUUGUUAAGUUGGAUUUGAAAUCCCCGGGCUCAACCUUGGAACUGCAUUCAAAACUGACUGACUAGAGUAUGGUAGAGGGUGGUGGAAUUUCCUGUGUAGCGGUGAAAUGCGUAGAUAUAGGAAGGAACACCAGUGGCGAAGGCGACCUCCUGGACUAAUACUGACACUGAGGUGCGAAAGCGUGGGGAGCAAACA
rnacentral:rRNA from 1 species